GAAAGUAAGCAAGGGCAGACGGUGGAUGCCUUGGCUCUCGGAGGCGACGAAGGACGUGAUAAGCUGCGAAAAGCCCGGGGGAGGCGCAAAUAGCCGUUGAUCCCGGGAUAUCCGAAUGGGGCAACCCGGCAGGCUGAAGGCCUGUCAUCCCGAAAGGGAGGCGAACGUGGGGAACUGAAACAUCUAAGUACCCAUAGGAGGAGAAAAUAAACAAUGAUUCCGUAAGUAGUGGCGAGCGAACACGGAAGAGCCCAAACCCAUGUCGUCUAGGCGACACGGGGGUUGUAGGACCACGACGUGGCAAGAUAGAGUCAAGUGGAACGCCUUGGAAAAGGCGGUCAUAGAGGGUGAAAACCCCGUACACGACUGACGAUUGAAGCCUAGUGGCAUCCUGAGUAGCGCGGGGCACGAGAAAUCUUGCGUGAAGCAGCGGGGCCCAUCCCGUAAGGCUAAAUACUCCCGAGAGACCGAUAGCGAACCAGUACCGUGAGGGAAAGGUGAAAAGAACCCCGAGCAGGGGAGUGAAAUAGACCCUGAACCCGUCUGCCUACAAGCGGUCGGAGCGUCGUAAUGACGUGACGGCGUGCCUUUUGCAUAAUGAACCUACGAGUUACCUUCCCCGGCAAGGUUAAGUACCUAAGGUACGGAGCCGAAGCGAAAGCGAGUCUGAACAGGGCGCCAAGUCGGGGGGGGUAGACGCGAAACCGAGUGAUCUACCCUUGGCCAGGUUGAAGGUUGGGUAACACCAACUGGAGGACCGGAUGGGUAAGCGUUGAAAAGCUUUCCAAUGAGCUGAGGGUAGGGGUGAAAGGCUAAUCAAACUCGGAGAUAGCUCGUACUCCCCGAAAUGCAUUUAGGUGCAGCCUCUUUAUAGUAUAUCGUGAGGUAGAGCGACUGAUUGGAUGCGAGGGCUUCACCGCCUAUCAAGUCCAGAUAAACUCCGAAUGCGCGAUAUAUAUUUACAGGGAGUGAGGGCGCGGGUGCUAAGGUCCGUGUCCGAGAGGAGAAGAAUCCAGACCACCGGCUAAGGCCCCCAAAUGAUCGUUAAGUUGAACUAACGAGGUCGGAUCGCAGAGACAGCUAGGAUGUUGGCUUGGAAGCAGCCAUUCAUUUAAAGAGUGCGUAACAGCUCACUAGUCGAGCGAUCUGGCGUGGAUAAUAAUCGGGCAUAAACGAUCUGCCGAAGCCGUGGAUGUCGCAAGACAUGGUAGGGGAGCAUUCCAUGCCGCGUCGAAGAUGAGGGAUGACCCUUGUUGGAGCGCAUGGAAAAGCAAAUGUAGGUAUGAGUAACGAUAAGGGGGGCGAGAAACCCCCCCGCCGAAAGACCAAGGUUUCCUGAUCAACGCUAAUCGGAUCAGGGUGAGUCGGGACCUAAGGCAAAGCCGAACGGCGCCGCCGAUGGAAGAAUGGGUUAAUAUUCCCAUACUGCCUCAUGGAGUGACGUGGAGACGGAGAAGUGACAGUCCUGCCGGCUGACGGAAUAGCCGGUUGAAGGGUGUAGAUAUUGAUUCCCGUAGGCAAAUCCGCGGGGAGAGUCGAACCUGAGAGUAUACGGAGCGCUUGCGCAACGUAAUAUGGACGUAACCAUGCUCCCGAGAAAAUCCGCUAAACUUAUCCAUGCGGCACCCGUACCGUAAACGGACACACGUGGUCGGGUUGAGAAUACUGAGGCGCUCGAGUGAUUCACGGUUAAGGAACUAGGCAAAUUGACCCUGUAACUUCGGGAUAAAGGGUCCUCGUCGUAAGGCGAGGCGCAGAGAAUAGGUCCAGGCAACUGUUUAACAAAAACACAUGGCUGUGCUAAAUGGAAACAUGAUGUAUACAGCCUGACACCUGCCCGGUGCUGGAAGGUUAAGAGGAGAUGUCAUCGCAAGAGAAGCGUUGAAUUGAAGCCCCAGUAAACGGCGGCCGUAACUAUAACGGUCCUAAGGUAGCGAAAUUCCUUGUC
rnacentral:rRNA from 1 species